GACGAACGCUGGCGGCGUGCUUAACACAUGCAAGUCGAACGAAGUGGCGCACGGGUGAGUAACGCGUAAUCAACCUGCCCUUCAGAGGGGGUCAACAGUUGGAAACGACUGCUCAUACCGCAUACCGAAGGACGGGAUUGCGUCUGAUUAGCUAGUUGGAGGGGUAACGGCCCACCAAGGCGAUGAUCAGUAGCCGGUCUGAGAGGAUGAACGGCCACAUUGGGACUGAGACACGGCCCAGACUCCUACGGGAGGCAGCAGUGGGGAAUCUUCCGCAAUGGACGAAAGUCUGACGGAGCAACGCCGCGUGAGUGAUGAAGGUCUUCGGAUCGUAAAGCUCUGUUAUUAGGGAAGCGGUACCUAAUCAGAAAGCAACGGCUAACUACGUGCCAGCCGCCGCGGUAAUAC
rnacentral:rRNA from 1 species